UUCACUACCAACCCAGGCUGGUCCUGAACUUUGCUCCACAACCCAAUCUCUCUGUCAUGUACCUUCCUCCAGAUAAGGCAUUUGAAGAAAGUCUCCGGAAUGAUAUUUGAAGAAGAUAGGAAGCCUAAUAAGGAUGAGCACAGUUUGGAGUCAGUCAUACCUGGAUUUGAAAUCCAUCUUGCAUGUUACUAUGAUCUUGGAUGAAUUUCAGAGCAAUUAAAAACUUGCCCAAAGUCACAGAGUUGAGAAGUGACAGAGCAAGAUUCUAACCCAGGUGUCUUGACUCCAAAACACUUUGCUUCAGUCUACACAAGCUGC
rnacentral:lncRNA from 1 species